CCACAGAGAAUAACUGCACAAAAAUCUCUCAUUCUCUCUCCACCACAGGGCCCAGUGUGUGAUGGCUGCAAACCAUAAGCAGACGCCUUGGUAGUGAAGCAACUUCCAUGGACCAGCUGUUCUAAGGACCUUGGAAACAGUC